rnacentral:rRNA from 1 species
AAGUCUGAUGGAGCAACGCCGCGUGAGUGAAGAAGGGUUUCGGCUCGUAAAGCUCUGUUGGUAGUGAAGAAAGAUAGAGGUAGUAACUGGCCUUUAUUUGACGGUAAUUACUUAGAAAGUCACGGCUAACUACGUGCCAGCAGCCGCGGUAAUACGUAGGUGGCAAGCGUUGUCCGGAUUUAUUGGGCGUAAAGCGAGUGCAGGCGGUUCAAUAAGUCUGAUGUGAAAGCCUUCGGCUCAACCGGAGAAUUGCAUCAGAAACUGUUGAACUUGAGUGCAGAAGAGGAGAGUGGAACUCCAUGUGUAGCGGUGGAAUGCGUAGAUAUAUGGAAGAACACCAGUGGCGAAGGCGGCUCUCUGGUCUGCAACUGACGCUGAGGCUCGAAAGCAUGGGUAGCGAACAGGAUUAGAUACCCUGGUAGUCCAUGCCGUAAACGAUGAGUGCUAAGUGUUGGGAGGUUUCCGCCUCUCAGUGCUGCAGCUAACGCAUUAAGCACUCCGCCUGGGGAGUACGACCGCAAGGUUGAAACUCAAAGGAAUUGACGGGGGCCCGCACAAGCGGUGGAGCAUGUGGUUUAAUUCGAAGCAACGCGAAGAGCCUUACCAGGUCUUGACAUCCAGUGCAAACCUAAGAGAUUAGGUGUUCCCUUCGGGGACGCUGAGACAGGUGGUGCAUGGCUGUCGUCAGCUCGUGUCGUGAGAUGUUGGGGUUAAGUCC